rnacentral:rRNA from 1 species
ACAUCUAAUACCAGAUGUUAGGAAAUGGAUUCGCGGCAGCCAGGGAGAGCUAACAUCCUACCCCUGCCAAGUCUUGUCGGGUCAUGGACAGUUCCAGACAUACAUGACAAAGAUCGGCAAAACGCAAGUGGGCAUCUGUGUGCUCUGAGUGUCUAGCAUGAAGGACGGAGUAGAACAUACUCUUCUUCACUGCCAGACACUUAAAGCGGUCAGAGAUAAACAGGUACACAGAGAAGUAACAACAAAGGGCAGGGGUACAACUUAAAGGUGGUGGUAAAUUUCAUCAAAGGCUAAAUAUAUGAAGGGACUAAUAGCGAACAAGCACCAUGAGGGAAAGUUGAAAAACUCUGACGGGAGAGUUCAACAGUACGUGAAUGAGUACGUAAUGAGUAAAACAAAUAACUGUGCUGUAGAGUGGUGUGCCUAUCAACAGGGUAGUUGGUUAUGUGAUGCCUUGAGAGUAAGUUGUCCAUUCAACCGAUUGCUCUUUGUUAGCCCUGCCAGAGACUCUGUGCAUUAGUGCACACUCAUUCAUUGAGAAACUAUGCCGCUGCGGCAUCGAUAUGGGACAGCUCGUACGUAGUGCGAUGUUCUGUGUUGGGCGUCACCUAGCCGGUGUAGUUUAGCUGUGGGACAGCUACGGCCUGCGUUUACUAAAUAUAACUGCUGUAUCUGCGAUUUGGUUUAUUCCUUGUUGCGGUGAGCAUGUUACUCUAGGUAAGCGGUCCGCCAUCAAUGGUUAGCAUUAGUUAUUUGACCCGUCUUGAAACACGGACCAAGGAGUUCAAAUGGCACGCGAGUCAUUGGGUCUUGACACCCGAAGACGAAGUGAAAUGCAAAGGUAUUGUUAUUUGUGGUUGUACCAUGAUUAAGCGAUGAGUUACUUAUGCUUUCUGGCAUUUGUAGACUACAAGCGUGAUGUUUGAGACCCGAAAGAUGGUGAGCUAUGCCUAGUCAAGAUGAAGCCAGAGGAAACUCUGGUGGAUGUCUGAAGUUAUUCUGACGUGCAAAUCGAUAAUCUGAUCUGGGUAUAGGGGCGAAAGACUAAUCGAACUAUCUAGUAGCUGGUUCCUUCCGAAGUUUCCCUCAGGAUAGCUAGCGUACACGUUUAGUUUCAUCCCGUAAAGCGAAUGAUUAGAGGUAUUGGGGCGUAUAUAGCCUCAACCUAUUCUCAAACUUUUAAUGGGUGUGAGUGUUACUUCUCGAUUGAAGAACACUGCUAAAUAAGUAUGCUUAGUGGGCCAUUUUUGGGAAGCAGAACUGGCGCUGUGGGUUGAACCAAUUGUUGGGUUAAAGUGCCAAAAGCUGAAAUGCGCAUGAGAUCUAUAAAGGGUGUUAGUUGCUGAAGACAGCAGGACGGUGGCCAUGGAAGUCGGAAUCCGCUAAGGAGUGUGUAACAACUCACCUGCCAAAGCAACUAGCCCCAAAAAUGGAUGGCGCUAUAGCAUUGUACUUAUACUCAACUUCUGACGUGUGACGCACCGGAGCGCUCAGAGAGUAGGAAGGUAAUGUGAUAGCAUCGAAGGAUGUUGCUGUGAAGCAAUCUGGAGCUGUCACAUGUGCAGAUCUUGGUGGUAGUAGCAAGUACUCAAUUGAAAACCUUGAGCACUGAAGUUGGGGAUGGGUUCCAGGUGAACAGUAGUUGAUCGUGGGUCAGUCGGUCCUAAGCUUAUGAUGAAACAUGUGUUGAAUGUGUAUAAUAAUGUGUUAUCACUAUAAGCGAAAGGGAAUCAGGCUAAUAUUCCUGAACCUGCACACUGGGAGGCUACUUAGGUAGCAACCGUGGCAACACAAUUACGCUCAAAAACACCAAGGGAUAGGCUAGGAAGAGUUGUCUUUUCUUUUAAGUUACUGGUACCCAUGGAAUGAAGUAAAUUUGAGAUAUGGGUAAGGGUGACAUAAAGCUGCUCAUAUUAGAGUAGUUUAGUUGAUUCCUUUGGUCCUUGAAAAUUUGAGCGUGGUGAUUAUCUUGGUGGCAGUCCGUACUAAUAUCCGCAGCAGGUCUCCAAGGUGCGAAGCCUUUAGUGUCUAGAUUAAUGUAGGUAAGGGAAGUCGGCAAAAUAGUUCUGUAACUUUGGGAGAAGGGAUGGCUCUGAAGGUUGAUCCAGUCAGGUUGACAGUAGAAGUAUUUAUGACAUUGUGUUGUCGCCGAAUGGACUUCGUGUCUGUCUGGAUGAUGACCGAAGUUGUGUUUAUGGACAUUGUUAGCUAUUUCGGUUUAUGCUGAUGUGAGUGGAAAUUAUCAACUACUUCAGAACUGGCACGAACUGAGGGAAUCCGACUGUCUAAUUAAAACAAAGCAUUGUGAAGUCCAGUAAUUGGUUAUGACACAAUGUGAUUUCUGCCCAGUGCUCUGAAUGUCAAAGUGAAGAGAUUCUUUGAAGCGCGGGUAAACGGCGGGAGUAACUAUGACUCUCUUAUGGUAGCCAAAUGCCUCGUCAUCUAAUUAGUGACGCGCAUGAAUGGAUUAACGAGAUUCCCACUGUCCCUAUCUACUGUCUAGCGAAACCACAGC